GUCGUCACUACAUCUGGAAAACCACGUAAGAACAAAUUAAAAGUAUUUUAAAAAAGACCAGGUUGUUUGAAAAUCCUAAACGAAUGCUAAAAAUCGUCAAAACAAUCUGGUGUCUGAGCCAGAGUGUCAUCGAAUUGCGAUGUAAUGUAAACAGAAAUUAUAGCAAGUUGAUGUCAGUCAGCUUAGUUGGUCCAAGCCAAAAUUAUAUCGCAUUUGAAGUUUCAAACUGAGUUAAAAAUAGUGGAAGAAAAGCCGUAAUUAUACUUAUUGUUACAAUCCAUUUAAUAAAAUGCAACAUUUUUUUGUUUUAAUGAAAAA